rnacentral:tRNA from 1 species
GGGCGUUAAAUAGAUAUUCCUAUGUUCAGUUGCGGUCUGAAAAGAUAUAUGCCUU